rnacentral:rRNA from 1 species
AUUGAACGCUGGCGGCAGGCUUAACACAUGCAAGUCGAGCGGAGUGAUGGUGCUUGCACUAUUACUUAGCGGCGGACGGGUGAGUAAUGCUUAGGAAUCUGCCAUUUAGUGGGGGACAACAUCCCGAAAGGAAUGCUAAUACCGCAUACGUCCUACGGGAGAAAGCAGGGGAACUUCGGACCUUGCGCCAAAUGAUGAGCCUAGGUCGGAUGAGCUAGGUGGUGGGGUAAAGGCCGACCAAGGCGACGAGCUGUAGCGGGUCUGAGAGGCUGAUCCGACACACUGGGACUGGGACACGGCGCAGACUACUUCAGGAGGCCACAGUGGGGAAUCUUGGACAAUGGGCGGAAGCCUGAUCCAGCCAUGCCGCGUGUGUGAAGAAGGCCUUUUUGUUGUAAAGCACUUUAAGCGAGGAGGAGGCUCUCCUAGUUAAUACCUAGGAAGAGUGGACGUUACUCGCAGAAUAAGCACCGGCUAACUCUGUGCCAGCCGCCGCUGUAAAAC